UACGUAGGUGGCAAGCGUUUGUCCGGAUUUAUUGGGCGUAAAGAGCGUGUAGGCGGCUAGGUAGGUCCGUUGUGAAAACUCGAGGCUCAACCUCGAGACGUCGAUGGAAACCAUCUAGCUAGAGUCCGGAAGAGGCGAGUGGAAUUCCUGGUGUAGCGGUGAAAUGCGCAGAUAUCAGGAGGAACACCGAUUGCGAAGGCAGCUCGCUGGGACGUGACUGACGCUGAGACGCGAAAGCGUGGGGAGCAAACAGG
rnacentral:rRNA from 1 species